rnacentral:lncRNA from 1 species
UCCACUCCAGCUUGCCAUCAAAAGUAAACAUUCUAUAUGUAUACAGGCCAUCACAUCAGUGCUCUUUGCAUUCCAAGGCGCAAACAGAGAAAUAACUUAUUUCUCAACUCCACGCACGCUACGGUGUGAUCAAAGGAUUCAAUCAUUACUUUAUUUCUCACCAAAUUAAGUCUACAACUCAUGUUGCCGUGAAAACUAUAACCUGUCAUAUGGUGCAGCAGAAUCAGACACACAAAGGCAUUGGAGGCAUGAGGUAGAAAGCCUUACUUGAGGAAACAGAUGAUUAUGAUAUGCCCGUAGUAGAAUCUGUAAGUAACAAACCCCCAACCGAAGAGCAUCCUUUCUGCAAGAAAGCAACCACAAGAAAAGGGUAAUUUAUAUAUAAUCAGUAGCAGUACUUAAAGAAAAAGGAAGUGAACGAUCUAUAAGAAGAGGAUAAGAGCAACACUUACAAGAUUGCUGUAGUGAAUCAUGCACAAGAGCAUCUAUUAUGCAAGUAAGGAACUAACAAGAAUCAAUGAAUACAGCAUCUUUAAGCCUGAGAUGGAUACUGAAGCUGUAAACGAUGGUAAAAGUAGUAGAUAAGUAGUAUAAGCAAGUUUCAGCCAAAGCAAGGCUGCUAAUUGCUAAAACUAUGAGAAGCUAAAAGAGAGAGAGACUUCAAUCUAAAAGCAGAAAGAGGGGACAAUCUAAGAUCCAUUUGUUUAGUGUUACCACUGUCUACAGAAUCGGUUCUGUGAAAACUAGAUCCAAUAACAACUGUUAUCAAAGGAUUUAAUCACACUAUUUUCUUUCUCACCAAUCAACUGAUGAUGGAUGUUAGUAUAUUACUUGCCCUUGGUUCACCCGCUUACCACAAUAAUUGGUCCAUGUAACGGUUCUCCACUUGGUAUAGUGUUACACCUCUUAGAGAUUCCAUGUACCAGAGUUUAUCUCCCAUUUGCAUUACCUCGUUAUGCUUAACCUGUGUACUAACAAACUCAAUCCUAGAAAAUGAUCACAUCAAUAAGAAGAAAGAUCAAUUUAUUUUUUAAACCUUUCACAUGCGUCUAACUCCAUCUUCAGCAUCUCUAAAACUCCAUCCAUCUCAACGUGCCACAAAGAAUCAAUCAAACUGCGAUGAAUACAAUCCAAAUGUACAACCAAAAUGAGAUUCGAUACAAAGUUUCACCGGAGACACUCAGAAGGCCCUUUCUGAAAUGAGACUUGUUCGACAUAGCAAGCCCUGCUGGUGAUUAUGAGGCACACGAUAGACUGUGGAAUCUCGCAUGAAAGUCGCUCAGAUCUGAGUUAACGAGUCUACUCGACCCGGUUUAUAUAUAACUUACUAGGUGUACCCCGUACUGCGUACGGGCAAAUAAAAUAAUAAAAUUAUUAUGUUAAAAUAGUAUGGUUUGUAGCCAAGUUUAGUGAAUGGUAAAUUUGGUGAUACUCAACGUAUUCCAAU